rnacentral:ncRNA from 2 species
UAACGUCUUCAGGGCGGGGCGGAACUCCCCACCGGCGGUAGGUCGCCCGGCUCCAGCAGCCGCGCCGACGAGCCCGCGAGCGCCUCCGGCAACGUACCGCCGCAGGGUUAGCAGAUCCGGUCCGAUGCCGGAGCCGACGGUCACAGUCCGGAUGAAAGAAGACGGCG